AAACACCCGCUCUGACCUCUUCAAACAGCCCAAUCACUUCCACAAGGUUACACAGCUAACAAGAAGCUGGGCUGUGAUUUUAACGCGAACUGAUGAAGCUCUAACCCAGCACCCUUGACCAUGAGGCUACGUGAUACACCUUGAAUCUCUGAGCUCUGAGUCUAUUCUGGGGCAGAAAUGCAAGACUUGCAUUUUACAUGUUGCUGUGAUGACUUAGUGAAGACCGGCCGGCGUCCAAGACUGCAGCAAGGCCUCCGGUUUAUGUCUUGGAGAAGCAAGGAGUGAUCACAGCCUGGAGCUCAGGGUCACCGGACACUAACCCCCUCAGCUAAACUGGGGAGAACACUCUGAUGUCACAGGUUAUCUCUUCCAGAGAUUCAUCUGCAUCACCCAGAGAAACGUGGAGAAUGGAGGGAAUCUUCUAGAUUUACUUGAUCAGAAGAGAAGAUGUCUGGGUCCCCAUGACACCAAUGGUACUCACAGCCCCAACACGGCUGACUGCCCCAGAGAGGAUUUUGCCUCAGAAAGAUGUUCUCAAGUGUCAGCUUCUCCUACACGAAAGGCCAGGGAGUCGUAUGAGAGGCAGCAGUGAUAUUCACCCCUUGAUACUGGACCUCUGA
rnacentral:lncRNA from 1 species